UAAUAAAUAAAUCUCAUCCUUAUAAAAUAUUUGAUAAUAGCAUUGGUAUGGUGCCGCUAACAUCUUCUUCAUCAUUAUUGCCCCUGGAUUCUACUUAAUGAUCAUCGUUGCUGCACUAUCGCCACAUUUGAUUGGUCGGAAAAGCUUUAUUCUUCACCAUCUCUUUCACAACCAAACCUAGAUCCAAAUCAAAACAAAGUAACGCGGAAACUCAGAUCGGAACCCAAAUCAAAACCAGAUACAAAACCCAUAUAAAAAGAACAAACCCCCUCCGACUGCACCUAGUGGUGGUCAUCGUCCGGAACGGCGAUGAGAACGGCGAGGG
rnacentral:lncRNA from 1 species